GCCUGAUUAGCACAGUGGUAAUGCGUUGCACUCGUACCACUCCAUGUUGACAUGCAAAGAUCACUGGUUCGAUUCCAGUAUCAGGCA